rnacentral:misc_RNA from 1 species
CGCCUCCUCAAGCCUUGCUUGACGUUGAAUGAUCGUUCCCCCCGGAACGCAUUCGAAAAUCAGCGGCGGUGCGGCUGACCCUCAAGCGUAGUAGUGUUUCUGUUCGCUUCGACGGGUGCAGCCGGGCCGGCCGAACAACCCCCCCAUUUUUCAC